GCGGCGCUAGGGCCGCCGUGACGCUGCUCCGCAGCCUCCCCAGCAGAGAAAUCAGGAAAUUGGGCAGCGGCUCUUUCUGAGAACUGCCCUUGAACGCAGAGCUUGGCCCUCCGUGGGAAAGAGGAUCUACCCUGCAACAGUUCAGCAAUCCAACUCCAGGCUUAGCUGUGAGCUACCCCAGACAUUGCUGCCCCGUGGCCCCACAUGGCCACUGCUGAGAGGUGGCAGCAGGAGAGGACGGGGAGUCCCUGAUGCGCGGACGGUUGGCCAUGCCUGGGAAGCACUGGCCCCCCGGGACCCAGUGUGUCACCAAGCAUGACCACACCAAGCCCAAGCCCCGGGAGCUCGCCUUCCACAAGGGAGAUGUGGUCACCAUCAUCGAGGCCG